GAUGAACGCUAGCGGCAGGCUUAACACAUGCAAGUCGGAGGGGUAACAGGUUAGUAGCAAUACUGAUGCUGACGACCGGCGCACGGGUGCGUAACGCGUAUGCAACCUACCUUAUACAGGGGGAUAACCUUUCGAAAGGGAGACUAACACCGCAUAACAUUGUUUUCAGGCAUCUGGGGAUAAUUAAAUGAGCGAUCAGGUAUAAGAUGGGCAUGCGUAGCAUUAGUUAGAUGGCGAGGUAACGGCUCACCAUGGCGAUGAUGCUUAGGGGUUCUGAGAGGAAGGUCCCCCACACCGGUACUGAGAUACGGUCCAAACUCCUACGGGAGGCAGCAGUGAGGAAUAUUGGUCAAGUCGGGCGGAAGCCUGAACCAGCCAAGUAGCGUGAAGGACGACUGCCCUAU
rnacentral:rRNA from 1 species